AUACGGAGGAUGCGAGCGUUAUCCGGAUUUAUUGGGUUUAAAGGGUGCGUAGGCGGCCUUGUAAGUCAGCGGUGAAAUUUUGCAGCUUAACUGUAAAAGUGCCGUUGAUACUGUGAGGCUAGGAUUUGGUUGCUGUGGGUGGAAUGUGUGGUGUAGCGGUGAAAUGCUUAGAGAUCACACAGAAUAUCGAUUGCGAAGGCAGCUCACAAAGCCAAGAUUGACGCUGAGGCACGAAAGUGUGGGGAUCAAACAGGAUUAGAUACCCUGGUAGUCCACACUGUAAACGAUGAUAACUCGCUGUCGGCGAUAUACAGUCGGUGGCCAAGCGAAAGCGAUAAGUUAUCCACCUGGGGAGUACGACCGCAAGGUUGAAACUCAAAUGAAUUGACGGGG
rnacentral:rRNA from 1 species